UGUGUCAAGACGGGCUGCCCAAUCCAAUCGCUGGGGCUGGGUGGCUCUUAAGGAGCUGGAGGCAGAGACAAGGGCAGAAACUAUAGGGCUGAGAACUCUUUAGCAAAGUAACCUGAGAUUUUGAGAACGGGCUGCUAUUGAAAAAAAGAGCAGAAGGGGGAGGUACUAGCGGGAAGGUAGAGGGAGUGGAUUAGCCCGGUGGCCACUUCUCACAACUCCUUGUAUUCCCAAGGGACCACUGGGACCCCCUCGCAGUGGCAUGCACAGAAGCACAAGAGUAACACUAAAAUCACUGCCAUCUGCAAACAGUUUAGAUUUUAAAGGCUGAAAGGAAAGCUGCACUGAAGAACUAUACCUGAAAUACUGUUAAAAUAGUACAUCACAGAAACACGUUCUCAACUUGACUCUCGGGCCUGUGAUGUCCAACUAGGGUCAGACUGGUCCAACACAGCUGCCAACUGGCCAAGAGUUCCAACUCCAGCACAGUAAACAAGUGAUCAGUGAGUCUGGGAAGAGCUCAACGCACCAGACACUUGGAAAACAGAGGCAAAUAAAGGGAGGAAAAUCAACAGACUUAAGUCUGUCA